GACGAGCUCUCCAAACGUUAUUCGGUAUCACUGGGCUUAAAGAGUUCGUAGGCGGUCCUGUAGGUGAGGUGUGAAAUCCCUCGGCUCAACCGAGGAAUUGCGCUUCAAACCGCAAGACUUGAGGGAGGCAGAGGUAAGCGGAACAGAUGGUGGAGCGGUGAAAUGCGUUGAUAUCAUCUGGAACACCGGUGGCGAAAGCGGCUUACUGGGUCUCUUCUGACGCUGAGGAACGAAAGCUAGGGUAGCGAACGGG
rnacentral:rRNA from 1 species